AACGAACGCUGGCGGCAUGCCUAACACAUGCAAGUCGAACGAAGUCUUCGGACUUAGUGGCGCACGGGUGCGUAACGCGUGGGAAUCUGCCCUUGGGUGCGGAAUAACUUCUCGAAAGGGAUGCUAAUACCGCAUAAUGUCGUAAGACCAAAGAUUUAUCGCCCAAGGAUGAGCCCGCGUAAGAUUAGCUAGUUGGUGGGGUAAAAGCCUACCAAGGCGACGAUCUUUAGCUGGUCUGAGAGGAUGAUCAGCCACACUGGGACUGAGACACGGCCCAGACUCCUACGGGAGGCAGCAGUGGGGAAUAUUGGACAAUGGGCGAAAGCCUGAUCCAGCAAUGCCGCGUGAGUGAUGAAGGCCUUAGGGUUGUAAAGCUCUUUUACCCGGGAUGAUAAUGACAGUACCGGGAGAAUAAGCUCCGGCUAACUCCGUGCCAGCAGCCGCAGUAACAC
rnacentral:rRNA from 1 species